rnacentral:rRNA from 1 species
AACGUAGGAGACAAACGUUAUCCGGAGUUACUGGGCGUAAAGGGCGUGUAGGUGGUUUCGUAAGUCUGGCGUGAAAUUUCUCGGCUUAACCGAGGCAGGUCGUCGGAUACUGCGGAACUUGAGGACGGUAGAGGCGUGUGGAAUUCCGGGUGUAGUGGUGAAAUGCGUAGAGAUCCGGAGGAACACCAGUGGCGAAGGCGACACGCUGGGCCGUACCUGACACUGAUGCGCGAAAGCGUGGGGAGCGAACAGG